AUCUGGGACACACAGCUGGCGAAAUGAUGUUUGAGAAGAUUUAAGCUCUUUUUGAGGAAAAUGGUCUGGAUAUGAAGCGUGUCUGUGUACUUGUGACGGAUGGGGCUCCAUCCAUGGCAGGAAAA